CAAGAGCGUAUAUUAAAGUUGUUGCAGUUAAAAAGCUCGUAGUUGGAUUUCUGGUACAAUGCGCCUGGCCCGCGACCGUUAGGUCGUGAGUGCCGGUGCGCGUUUGCCAUCCUUCUAGAAAACGUUUCUGCUCUUUACCGGAGUUGGACUCGCGAUCUAGAUCUUUUACUUUGAAAAAUUAGAGUGUUCAAAGCAAGCCAUCGCUCUGAAUACAUUAGCAUGGAAUAACAUGAUAGGACUUCUGUCUUAUUUUGUUGGUUUCCGAGACGGGAGUAAUGAUUAAUAGGGACAGUCGGGGGCAUCCGUAUUUCAUUGUCAGAGGUGAAAUUCUUGGAUUUAUGAAAGACGAACUUCUGCGAAAGCAUUUGCCAAGGAUGUUUUCAUUAAUCAAGAACGAAAGUUGGGGGCUCGAAGACGAUCAGAUACCAU
rnacentral:rRNA from 1 species